rnacentral:rRNA from 1 species
AGUCGAGUGCGCGGUUGUAGCAAUACAACUGGCGCACGGCGCACGGGUGCGUAACACGUGGGUAACCUGCCCUUUGAUGGGGAAUAACCCCGCGAAAGCGGGGCUAAUACCGCAUAAGAUCCGCAAGGAUGAAAGCCGUAAGGCGUCGAAGGAGGGGCCCGCGCACGAUUAGCUAGUUGGUAGGGUAACGGCCUACCAAGGCUUUGAUCGUUAGCUGGUCUGAGAGGAUGGCCAGCCACACUGGAACUGAGACACGGUCCAGACUCCUACGGGAGGCAGCAGUGGGGAAUCUUGCACAAUGGGCGAAAGCCUGAUGCAGCGACGCCGCGUGGGGGAUGAAGCUUCUCGGAGUGUAAACCCCUUUCGACCCGGACGAAUGCCCCGCAAGGGGACUGACGGUACGGGUAUAAGAAGCCCCGGCUAACUACGUGCCAGCAGCCGCGGUAAGACGUAGGGGGCCAGCGUUGUUCGGAAUUACUGGGUGUAAAGGGUUCGUAGGCGGUGUGGCAAGUCGGGAGUGAAAUCUCUGGGCUCAACUCAGAGUCUGCUUCCGAAACUGCUGUGCUGGAGUGUGGGAGAGGCGCGUGGAAUUGCAGGUGUAGCGGUGAAAUGCGUAGAUAUCUGCAGGAACACCCGUGGCGAAAGCGGCGCGCUGGACCACUACUGACGCUGAGGAACGAAAGCUAGGGGAGCAAACAGGAUUAGAUACCCUGGUAGUCCUAGCCCUAAACGAUCAGGACUUGGGGUGCCACCCGCUCGGGUGUCGUCCCGGAGCUAACGCGUUAAGUCCUGCACCUGGGGAGUACGGUCGCAAGACUGAAACUCAAAGGAAUUGACGGGGGCCCGCACAAGCGGUGGAACACGUGGUUCAAUUCGACGCUACGCGAGGAACCUUA